UACGUAGGGUGCAAGCGUUAAUCGGAAUUACUGGGCGUAAAGCGUGCGCAGGCGGUUGUGCAAGACCGAUGUGAAAUCCCCGGGCUCAACCUGGGAAUGGCAUUGGUGACUGCACGGCUAGAGUGUGUCAGAGGGGGGUAGAAUUCCACGUGUAGCAGUGAAAUGCGUAGAGAUGUGGAGGAAUACCGAUGGCGAAGGCAGCCCCCUGGGAUAACACUGACGCUCAUGGCACGAAAGCGUGGGGAGCAAACAGG
rnacentral:rRNA from 1 species